CGAGUGAAGAGGACUUGUUACUUAAUGCUAUGGUUGGGGUUUACAUUAAGAUGUUUAGUGUUGUUUUGGCAGAAUACUGUAAGGCAAUAUCCUCACAACCUUUUAUUAAUAAAACCAAAAGAAGAGGUUCUAUACAUACAAAAUGAAAAGGAAAACUUACCGAAGGAGCUAUGUGCAUGAACAACUAAUUACAAAAAGAAAUAAAAAAAC
rnacentral:lncRNA from 1 species